UUUCAGUUGGGAGGCUCCUUGGCUCUUCGGAGAGUAUCUUGCUCCAGAGGCCAGAAUUUAAAUUUGAGCUGUUCUCCACAGCCCGGAGUGAGGGGCGGGGCCUGGUCCUGCUGUGCUGGAGCGAGGACUUUUGUGUCAUGGCACUCCCAAGGGAAACUGAGAGCCUCAGACCACUCAGAAGAGGUGGUGCAGAGAGAGAAUGCUGGUCACGCCGCUCUGAGGUGUUUGAGAAAGACUAGGAUUCAUGAGAAGUGUGGAACCCAAGUGCGGUUGAGAUGGUCAUGGGAGGACUAUGAAUCUCUUAAUGUCACGUCACCAACUGUAUUGGGUUGAAUGGCAGAUGAGAAGACAGAUACAAGGAGGAGAGGAGAAAGCCGUGUGAAGACAGAGGCAGAGACUGGAGUGACGCAGCCACAAGUCAGGGAACACCUGAAGCCACCAGAAGCUGGAGGAGGCAAGGAAAGAUUCUCCCCUAGAGGCUUUGGCCCCGCCUGACACCUUGAUAUUGGACUUGUGGCCUGGAGAACAGAAUAAAUUUAGGUUGUCUUAAGCCACCAAGUUUGAGGUCAUUCGUUACAGCAGCCAUCAGAAAGUAACCCACCACUAUCUCUUCUCAUUGAGAAGAUACGUUCACUAGAGUCCAUGCCCUGCUUAGAACACCAUGACAUUACACUCUUGAUAUUUGUUGUACUUUUAAGUUUUAAACUGUAUGCCAUGUCUCUUUUUUUUUUUUCUUACCGUUCAAGCUAUGAAAAUGUUUCAUUUCACCCCACGAA
rnacentral:lncRNA from 1 species